rnacentral:rRNA from 1 species
GACAGAGGUGGCUAGCGUUGUUCGGAUUCAUUGGGUGUAAAGGGUGCGUAGGCGGUUUGGAAAGUCAAAUGUGAAAUCCCACAGCUCAACUGUGGAACUGCAUUUGAAACUUCCGAACUCGAGUGCGAGAGAGGUGAAGGGAAUUCCCGGUGUAAGGGUGAAAUCUGCAGAGAUCGGGAGGAACACCAGUAGCGAAGGCGCUUCACUGGCUCGUAACUGACGCUGAGUGCACGAAGGCGUGGGGAGCAAACGGG